rnacentral:misc_RNA from 1 species
AUUUUUUUUUUUUUUUUUGAGGAAAUUAAGUUAAAAUUUUUGCCUAUGGUCUUUCUAAGAAUGAAUUUGGAUUGUGGAUGAUAUCUUUGAAAUAUGUAACUUGUCAAUAGUUCUUUGUAGGCCAUAACUAUAAGUAGCUGUUUUACUGGCACAGACUGAUUUGCAUGACAAUAUUUGUGAAUGAAAAAGAAUAUGUUGCCUUAUCAUUCCAGCCUUAGGUCUCUAAAUUUGAACUUGCAGG